AUUAUACUCCCUCCGUCCGAAAAAACUUGUCCCAAACGUGUGCCUUAAAUGAAUGUAUCUAACACUAACUCAAUGUUAAAUGUAUUCAUUUGAGGGACAAGCUUUUUCAGACGGAGGAAAUAUAUG
rfam:Triticum urartu cultivar G1812 contig93097, whole genome shotgun sequence.